GUAAGGAAUAUUGCGCAAUGGGCGAAAGCCUGACGCAGCGACGCCGCGUGGGGGAUGAAGGUCUUCGGAUUGUAAACCCCUUUCGGGAGGGAAGAUGGAGCGAGCAAUCGUUCGGACGGUACCUCCAGAAGCAGCCACGGCCAACUUCGUGCCAGCAGCCGCGGUAAUACGAAGGUGGCAAGCGUUGUUCGGAUUCACUGGGCGUACAGGGUGUGUAGGCGGUUUGGUAAGCCUUCUGUUAAAGCUUCGGGCCCAACCCGGAAAGCGCAGAGGGUACUGCCAGGCUAGAGGGUGGGAGAGGAGCGCGGAAUUCCCGGUGUAGCGGUGAAAUGCGUAGAGAUCGGGAGGAAGGCCGGUGGCGAAGGCGGCGCUCUGGAACAUACCUGACGCUGAGACACGAAAGCGUGGGGAGCAAACAGGAUUAGAAACCCUAGUAGUCC
rnacentral:rRNA from 1 species